CACUUUCCAAAUCCAAUAGGGAGGUGGCGGACAGGGCAUCUCAGCAGACGGGAACCACAUCCGCAUGAGAACUCACGGGUAGGACGGGGAGAGAGGGCUGCGUGAUAUCUGCUCUCAGACCUCCUAGAGCAGAAAGAAGCACUAUGUCUCAGUGGUCACGGAACUGUGGACCUGGGAUGGAUAGGCUCCACUAAGAAACGUUCUGAACACUGGUUCCUCUGUCCCCCUCCUCACAUUAAUGCUCACACAACAUUGUCUUGGUCAGCUGAGCUCAUGUGAAGAGGGUGAUGCACUCCUGGACAUAGGAUCAGGACUUGAGUCACAUCUGGCCUCAGGAAAUGACAAGGCAGUUCGGAGCUGAGCUUCAGCUUACUGAGGUGAAAGAACACUGACCAAUGACAUCCGUGGUGGGUCUCACGGAGACCGUCCACACUUGGGAUUUUCAAGGGAAAAGAAUACAGACUUACCCCUCAUCACAGGGGUGUGAAUGGGGCUGCAGGUGGUGUCUGUUAUCUCUGUCUAUUAGGUGGUGAAGAGGGACCACAACAAGGCCAGGAAGAAAAUCAGGACCUUGAAAGGGACAUUAUGAAGUCCAUGGAGCUCGGCGGAAAUGGAAGCCUCCGGUCUAUGGUCAGGUCCUAUCCCACAUGUGCCCAGCACUUAGUGCUUUGGGGCCUGUGUCCUCAUUCAGCAAAGCUUGAGCUCCUGUUUAGUUGAUCAUUUCCACAGAAGGGACAUUGCAUUCAGGCUCCCGUAGGCUCUCAGUUCUCUCCUUUACCCACAAUCACCCCAUCUGUAUUUCUAGCUUACAGAGGCUACAGCAGGAAGAGAGGGAAGGAUGACAGGGGACUGCUUUCGCUCCUGCAGAGCCUGCUUACUGACACCAUCAGCUUUUGCCAGCUCUUAAGAAGAGAUGCCUCGGCUCAAGGAUCCAGACCAGAAGCUGCCGAAGACCACCAGCCACCUAGGCAUUCCACAGAGC
rnacentral:lncRNA from 1 species